rnacentral:rRNA from 1 species
CCUACGGGAGACAGCAGUGGGGAAUAUUGCACAAUGGGGGAAACCCUGAUGCAGCGACGCCGCGUGAGUGAAGAAGUAAUUCGUUAUGUAAAGCUCUAUCAGCAGGGAAGAAAAUGACGGUACCUGAGUAAGAAGCCCCGGCCAACUACGUGCCAGCAGCCGCGGUAAUACGUAGGGGGCAAGCGUUAUCCGGAUUUACUGGGUGUAAAGGGAGCGUAGACGGCAGUGCAAGGCUGGAGUGAAAGGCGGGGGCCCAACCCCCGGACUGCUGUGGAAACUGGACGGCUGGAGUGCAGGAGAGGUAAGUGGAAUUCGUGGUGUAGCGGUGAAAUGCGUAGAUAUUAGGAGGAACACCAGUGGCGAAGGCGGCUUACUGGACUGUAACUGACGUUGAGGCUCGAAGGCGUGGGGAGCAAACAGGAUUAGAUACCCUAGUAGUC